GUGUGAGAAGCAGCGAAAGCCAGGAGUGCCCAGUUUUGCAAAAUAGUGACUUCACAGGAAAGCUGUAAGGUGAUUGGCUGGUUUCUAGCAGCUGCAGUACUUUGCUUUUAUUUUAUCUCAAAAUGGAUGUAGCCCCUGCCCGCUGGAACAGGGCACCUGUAACCAGCCUCGUGGUAUGAUAAGCUGCUGACUUCAAGAUGCCACCCUGGCCAGCAGCUAAUUUGUGGAACAAUUUGUGGAACAAUCUGAAUGCAUGAAGUUCUUGCUGGCUGCAGAGCAGCUGAUGGAAACGGAAGUGGCAGCAUCUGGUUCCACAACUCAAUAAAAGGAAGCUGUGGCAGCCUGAGCUAUAACUGGUUCUGCAUAUCACUUGGAAAGUACUGCUUCAGAGGAACUGCCAGCAGCUUUUAACGAUAAACAGCUCUAACCAUUCACUGCGUAUUAUGCCAACUAAUUUAAGAAAAUAUUUCAUUCCAAAAUUCAGGGAAUAUCAUUUAUAAAUCUCCCCAUAAUGAAAACUAAAGCUGUAUUCCUGUAAUACCCUUCCUAUUGGUGCUAACCCUGGUUCAGUUGGUGGUGCCCUUGCCCCUGCAGCAAGAAGGUUCCGGGUACAAACUCACUCCAGGGACUUAUGAACACAGGCCACAAAAUUGGAUUCCAUGGUGUCUGUUUGUCACAGUUGUCCUUAGGUACAAAAAUGGUGUCCGCAUCACAUGCGCACACUUCUGGCAUGGCCCAGGCCGAACACCAUCUUGUUGAGGGUGUUUGGGUGUUAGGAGGGUGCGCUG